rnacentral:rRNA from 1 species
UGGAGGCAGCAGUGGGGAAUCUUGCGCAAUGGCCGAAAGGCUGACGCAGCGACGCCGCGUGUGGGAGGACGCCCUUCGGGGUGUAAACCACUGUUGCCCGGGACGAAUCCCUGGUUUCGACCAGGUUGACGGUACCGGGUGAGGAAGCACCGGCUAACUCCGUGCCAGCAGCCGCGGUAAUACGGAGGGUGCGAGCGUUGUCCGGAAUCACUGGGCGUAAAGGGCGCGUAGGUGGCGGGCCAAGUCAACGGUGAAAGCUCGGGGCUCAACUCCGAGUCGGCCGUCGAUACUGGUUCGCUGGAGCACUGUAGAGGCAGGUGGAAUUCCGGGUGUAGCGGUGGAAUGCGUAGAGAUCCGGAAGAACACCGGUGGCGAAGGCGGCCUGCUGGGCAGUUGCUGACACUGAGGCGCGACAGCGUGGGGAGCAAACAGGAUUAGAUACCCCGGUAGUC